rnacentral:misc_RNA from 1 species
AACAUCGCGCACCUGCGGGAACCUGCGGAGGGAUCAUUAAUGAUUGGUGGCUGUUGCUGACUAGUGUUUCUAGUAUGUGCACGCCACACCUUCAAUCCCACUUACACCUGUGCACCUUCUGUAAUAGAUCUAUGUGGAUACGGAGAUAUGAAAGUUUGCGCUCUCGUACUCUGUUGAAACAGUCUACUACGUUUUUUUACACACACACAAUAGUCAUUGAAUGUAUUUUUUAUUCUUAUG